rnacentral:rRNA from 1 species
CCUACGGGGCGCUGCAGUGGGGAAUAUUGGACAAUGGGCGAAAGCCUGAUCCAGCCAUGCCGCGUGUGUGAAGAAGGCCUUCGGGUUGUAAAGCACUUUCAGUGGGGAAGAAAGCCUUGGGGCUAAUACCCUCGAGGAAGGACAUCACCCACAGAAGAAGCACCGACUAACUCCGUGCCAGCAGCCGCGGUAAUACGGAGGGUGCGAGCGUUAAUCGGAAUUACUGGGCGUAAAGCGCGCGUAGGCGGUCUGAUAAGCCGGUUGUGAAAGCCCCGGGCUCAACCUGGGAACGGCAUCCGGAACUGUCAGGCUAGAGUGCAGGAGAGGAAGGUAGAAUUCCCGGUGUAGCGGUGAAAUGCGUAGAGAUCGGGAGGAAUACCAGUGGCGAAGGCGGCCUUCUGGACUGACACUGACGCUGAGGUGCGAAAGCGUGGGUAGCAAACAGGAUUAGAUACCCUGGUAGUC